rnacentral:misc_RNA from 1 species
GAAAUGCGAUAAGUAGUGUGAAUUGCAGAAUUCAGUGAAUCAUCGAAUCUUUGAACGCACAUUGCACCCCUUGGUAUUCCAUGGGGCAUGCCUGUUUGAGUAUCAUGAAAUCUUCAAAGUAAAUCUUUUGUUAACUCAAUUGGUUUCUACUUUGGUAUUGGAGGUCUUUGCAGCUUCACACCUGCUCCUCUUUGUUCAUUAGCUGGAUCUCAGUGUUAUGCUUGGUUCCACUCGGCGUGAUAAGUUAUCUAUCGCUGAGGACACUGUAAAAGGUGGCCAAGGUAAAUGCAGAUGAACCGCUUCUAAUAGUCCAUUGACUUGGACAAUACUUUUAUGAUCUGAUCUCAAAUCAGGUAGGACUACCCGCUGAACUUAAGC